CAUGUUGCACCCAAACCAGCAAAACAUGAACAAUAUGCACUGCAAAUUGCCCCGGUCUUCUUCUGGAAACACACCCAUAACUUGUGUGGCACUGCUCUGAUGUUUUGUGAAGGUGUGCAUGUUGUCUUCAGCACACAAUGGUCUGGAUCAGCAUGUCGGUAGAACACUUCCUGUAUCCAUGACUGUUGUGACACAAAAUAACUGAAUGCCUUCCCUAAAGAAAAAACAAAGAUAAACUCAAUUUAAAUG